CUUUCUUUCUCACUAUAAAAUACACAGAAUAAACUUUUAAAGCAUUAAAACACUGAACUUUGGGGGACAAUAUAUAACAGCACUAAAAAGGUACACAUAAAAUUCAUGACUAAGGCAACAUCAAAUUAAUUUCCUGUUUUUCAAAUUCAUUCUCUUUAGAUGUCCAAAGCACUUUUUUUUAGAACAGCAAUAAAUUUUGUCAGACAUGUCAGAUUUGAAUUUUUAUUCUAAGAAAUAAUUGCUCAUGGAAAAAUACUUUCGAAAUUGAGUUAUGGUAUAAUAGAUAUAGAGUUAUGGUUUAAUAGAUAUUGGGGAAAGUUUAUUACCUCCCCUUUUCUUUCAAGAUAAAAUCUGAAAAAUAAGAAAUUAAUUUCCCAUGGCCUUAAAAAAAUGUAACUAUAAAUUACAACAUGACUUUUUGUACAAGGCAUUAGUCUAGUUUAAGAUUGAAAAUGUCUGCUUACACAUGUAUAUAAUUUGGUUUAUCAAAACACCAGUUUUACCCCAAAAAAAUAUAUAUAGAUAGGUUAAUUAGUAUUGCAAUAUUCACUUUUGGUUAUGUUUUAUAAUUGUACAAUUAAAAAAUGAAUUGAAAUAAAUAUACAGUAAUACAGUUACCAAAACAAUAAAUGAAAUCAAAUUUGUUCCAGUUUUGAGCUAGUAUUAUGCUAAGAACUGAGAUUCACCUAAAAAUAACAAAUUUUUCUGAUGAUCAAUUGAACAAAACUUUGUUUACAUAAUAUAGUGUACCCUUUGUAACAUGUAUGAAUAGAUAGACCAAUGGAUGCCACUGAAAUCAUAAAGUUACCAAACGCAUAUGUUCGAAGGGAUUUGACCUCAGCCUGUUUCAAUUCAAUUUACCAUCAAAACUUUUACCAAUUUAAAAGAACUUUUAUUAAAUUAAAAUUCAAUCAAAACAUAUAUUUGAGGUCAUUGAGGUCAUUGUCAUUUGAAGCUUCCAUGUCAAAAAUAAACAGUUGUUCAUUUACUGUGAGAAUAUGUCAUACUUGCCAGUGAUAUUGUUUGCCUUAAAUUAAUGGAGAAUAAAGGCUUUUUUCCCCUGGAGAAGAAUCCCAAUUUGAAAAAAAUGGCUUAAAUUAUUCCCAAAAAGACAACUUUUUUCCAAAACAGUGCAGUCUCAGUAGUAAUUGUGCAUGAAUACAAACUGAAAAACACUCAUUUAUACAUUUUUCAUGCCUAAAUUUACUAUAAGUGCAGAUUUGAGGGUCUAUUUGUGCAUCAUCACUGACAAAAAAAGGUCUCAUUUCAAAGCAGGGUUUGACUCUUGAAGUGGGUCUGUAAAUUCAAGUUUCAGACAAAUUCAUGGUUCAAUCUAAAUUUUCCAAAUUGAUGAAAAUUACACAUAUUUUCCCAAUAAAAAAGGGAAGAGGUAGUUUUGAAAAAAGCCAACAUUAUUAUCACUGCUUGUAAGUAUGUAAAUAGAAAACCUUCUUCAAAUAUAUUUAAUUUAAACAUAUCUUCUGUACUUCGGUUAGGCAUCUAACAAUAUUCUAAAGGGACAUCCAUUGGUAUCAUAUCUUAGUCAAUACAAAUUAUGGUUCAACAAGUAUCUUUGAUAAUAAACAAUGCGUUGUUAAUGACAUGAUGCUCCUGUUAAAGGCAACAUCUUUUCUGUUUCUUUACUAAAGUAAAAUCUGCACCUAUUCCACAUGUGAAUAAAUUGAACACAAAAUGAAUCUUGUAAGAUCUCCCAUAAAUACAAUAAUUUAGCAUGUUAAAAAUUUAAAUUAAAAUUAAAAGCCUAUUUACAUGCACUGUUUAUAUCUAAAAUCUGUACAAUCUUGAGAAGCAAUGGAAAAAAUGCAAUGAACGUCAAAAUUGUUACAUUUAAUAAAUAAAUUCUCUUUCAAUAAAUAUUUCAGAUCUUUUUCUCUUUCCAUAAACAUUUCAGAAUUUUUUAAAGAAUUUCAAGAUGCAAUAAUUCCUCGAAUGGCACAAGUUUAAACAAUAAUGAAGCUACAAUUUUUUCAACCAUUAAGAAGAAUGUAAAAGUAAAACCUGUUUAUUUUAAGGCACAACUCAGAGAAUAUUUUGAGACCUAAGGGCAAAACUAAUUAAUUUAUUAAGACUAUAUUGUAUACUUUAUGUUGGGAAUAAUUCAACAAUACACAGGGGCGGAUGCAGGAAUUUUCGAAAGGGGGGGUGCUAACCCAGGGCAAUAUAGGGGGUGCAGGGGGGGUGCAAAACAUAUGUCCCGAUACAAAUGCAUUGAUCGGCAAAAAAUAAAGAGGGGUGCGCACCCCUGGAACCCCCCCCUCCCCUGGAUCCGCCACUGAUACAGACUAUUACAAUACUUCAGAACAAAAAAAAACAUGUCUAUUCUUCCAAGAUUUUUUAAUUUAUUUUUUUUGUAUAAUUUUUUAUGUUGGACACAGCCAUUUUUCUUGUUUUUUUAAAGUAAAAUAAAUUGGCUACUGAGUAAACUGCUGAUUUUAAUGUAUACGUUCAUCAUGAAUAUGUUACUCUUUCAAUAUAAGAAAAUUUAAUACUAUAAUUUUAAGAAUUUUUGCAUUAAAAACAAUUGUUUUUAUUCAGAUAUUGCUGUUCCUAAAACUUCAUUCAAGAACCAAAACAUGUACAAUGUAUUAUGCUUAGCCAGUAUCACCAUGAUUGAGGAUGUUGAUUUUUUCAACAAUAUAAUUAAAAUACCUAGCAAUGGUUUAAACUGACAAUGACUAAACUUGAAAUAUUAACAUUUAUAUUGACUUAAUGGGGUACAAUGCUGACCAGUUACUACGACAGUGUGAUAAUAGUUGCAUUAUAUAUGUUAAGACUUUUGACUCAGAGAUUAACCACAGAUGAACAGAGUUACUGGACUUGAUUUUGACUAAAAACAUCAAAAAUUGCAAAAUUUAAUCUUCUAAUCUGUGCAAUACAGUAGUGGAUGUGCUCAUUUUGUACUUAUAAAGUACACAACACUUAAAAAAACAAUUCUGUAUAACAAAAUAGCAGUUUCAUAAUUCUUCUCAAUAGCUGCUCAAAAUUGAAAUUUAAAUGCUUUGUUUUCAUGAUUUCUAAAAACACCAAAUAUACAUAUAUUUUUGUAUUUAUAACUUUCUCUAACACAUAUUGACAAGAAAACAUACCUGAAAUUCUAUAAAUAUAUUUCAUAAAUAUGAGGUAUCAAGUUUUUACGAGGCUUUAAUUUACUUUGGUAUAUAGCCUUUAACGAACUAAUCACAUCUUGACUAGAAAAAGGCAAGCUAUAUUUAAUUAUUGGUUAAUCUUUGUACAAUCUUACUCAGGACAAAAAUAAUCAUUCACUAUUUUUCUGACUGAACAUUUAUUUAUUUCCACAACUGGAAUUUGUAUUUUUAUUUCCUUUCCCUUUUUCUGUAAAAAUCUAGUUUCAUAUACUUUCUGAUACUUUUCAAAGGUCAGUCAGAAAAUAGCAGUAAACAAAUAUAUUUUAAAAUCCUCACUACCUAACAACUGGCCACACAGAUGAGUUAUAAAAUGCAUGUUAAAUUUAAUAUAUUAACAGUUAGCUAAGUAUAUUUAAGCAUAAUUCUAUUCUAAAUUUAGAAAUUACAGUUUCCUUUCAAAUAAAAUAUUUACAUCAUUUUU
rnacentral:lncRNA from 1 species